rnacentral:rRNA from 1 species
AACGAACGCUGGCGGCAUGCCUAACACAUGCAAGUCGAACGAUCCCUUCGGGGAUAGUGGCGCACGGGUGCGUAACGCGUGGGAACCUGCCCUUAGGUUCGGAAUAACUCAGAGAAAUUUGAGCUAAUACCGGAUAAUGUCUUCGGACCAAAGAUUUAUCGCCUUUGGAUGGGCCCGCGUUGGAUUAGCUAGUUGGUGGGGUAAAGGCCUACCAAGGCGACGAUCCAUAGCUGGUCUGAGAGGAUGAUCAGCCACACUGGGACUGAGACACGGCCCAGACUCCUACGGGAGGCAGCAGUGGGGAAUAUUGGACAAUGGGCGAAAGCCUGAUCCGGCAAUGCCGCGUGAGUGAUGAAGGCCUUAGGGUUGUAAAGCUCUUUUACCCGGGAUGAUAAUGACAGUACCGGGAGAAUAAGCCCCGGCUAACUCCGUG